AUUGAACGCUGGCGGCAUGCUUUACACAUGCAAGUCGAACGGUAACAGGUUAAGCUGACGAGUGGCGAACGGGUGAGUAAUGCAUCGGAACGUGCCCGAUCGUGGGGGAUAACGCAGCGAAAGCUGCGCUAAUACCGCAUACGAUCUGAGGAUGAAAGCGGGGGACCGUAAGGCCUCGCGCGAUCGGAGCGGCCGAUGUCAGAUUAGGUAGUUGGUGGGGUAAAGGCCCACCAAGCCGGGGAUCUGUAGCUGGUCUGAGUGGACGACCAGCCACACUCGGACUGAGACACGGCCCAGACUCCUACGGGAGGCAGCAGUGGGGAAUUUUGGACAAUGGGCGAAAGCCUGAUCCAGCAAUGCCGCGUGCAGGAAGAAGGCCUUCGGGUUGUAAACUGCUUUUGUACGGAGCGAAAAGGUCCUUUCUAAUACAAGGGGCUCAUGACGGUACCGUAAGAAUAAGCACCGGCUAACUACGUGCCAGCCGCCGCAGUAA
rnacentral:rRNA from 1 species